rnacentral:rRNA from 1 species
AAUCAACGCUGGCGGCGUGCCUAACACAUGCAAGUCGAACGAGAAAGUCCCGCAAGGGGUGAGUAAAGUGGCGACCGGGUGAGUAACACGUGACUAACCUACCUUCGAGUGGGGAAUAACCUCGGGAAACCGGGGCUAAUACCGCAUAACAUCGCGAGGUGAGAUUCCUUGUGAUCAAAGGAGCAAUUCGCUUGAAGAGGGGGUCGCGGCUGAUUAGCUAGUUGGUGAGGUAACGGCUCACCAAGGCGAUGAUCAGUAUCCGGCCUGAGAGGGCGCACGGACACACUGGAACUGAAACACGGUCCAGACUCCUACGGGAGGCAGCAGUGGGGAAUUUUGUCGCAAUGGGGGAAACCCCGUGACGCAGCAACGCCGCGUGGAGGA